CAAUAGCGUAUAUUAAAGUUGUUGCAGUUAAAAAGCUCGUAGUUGGAUUUCCGGUUGAAGCGACCGGUCGGGCGUUGAUUCGUCUGCACUGGAGUCGGUUUUGGCCAUCCUCUAGGAAAGUGCGUCUGGUAUUAAGUUAUCGGGCGUAUGAUCCUGGUCUUUUACUGUGAAAAAAUUAGAGUGUUUAAAGCAGGCCUUCGCCUUGAAUACAUUAGCAUGGAAUAAUAAGAUAGGACUUUGGUCUAUUUUGUUGGUUUGCAGACCGAAGUAAUGAUUAAUAGGGAUAGUUGGGGGUAUUUAUAUUCCGAUGUCAGAGGUGAAAUUCUUAGAUUUUCGGAAGAUAAACUUAUGCGAAAGCAUUUACCAAGGAUGUUUUCAUUAA
rnacentral:rRNA from 1 species